GACGAACGCUGGCGGCGUGCUUAACACAUGCAAGUCGAACGGAAAGGCCCUGCUUUUGCGGGGUGCUCGAGUGGCGAACGGGUGAGUAACACGUGAGUAACCUGCCCUUGACUUUGGGAUAACUUCAGGAAACUGGGGCUAAUACCGGAUAGGAGCUCCUGCUGCAUGGUGGGGGUUGGAAAGUUUCGGCGGUUGGGGAUGGACUCGCGGCUUAUCAGCUUGUUGGUGGGGUAGUUGCUUACCAAGGCUUUGACGGGUAGCCGGCCUGAGAGGGUGACCGGCAACAUUGGGACUGAGCUACGGCCAAGACUCCUACGGGAGGCAGAAGUGGGGAAUAUUGCACAAUGGGCGGAAGCCUGAUGCAGCAACGCCGCGUGCGGGAUGACGGCCUUCGGGUUGUAAACCGCUUUCGCCUGUGACGAAGCGUGAGUGACGGUAAUGGGUAAAGAAGCACCGGCUAACUACGUG
rnacentral:rRNA from 1 species